UACGUAGGGGGCAAGCGUUGUCCGGAGUUACUGGGCGUAAAGCGCACGCAGGCGGUCUCUUAAGUUUGGAGUGACAGUUGGUGGCUUAACUGCCAAAGUGCUUCGAAAACUGAGAGACUUGAGGGCUUCAGAGGGACGUGGAAUUCCGGGUGGAGCGGUGAAAUGCGUAGAGAUCCGGAGGAACACCGACGGCGCAGGCAGCGUCCUGGCCGCUUGCUGACACUGAGGCACGAAAGCUGGGGGAGCAAACAGG
rnacentral:rRNA from 1 species